CGCUUGAAUACAUUAGCAUGGAAUAAUGAAUAGGACGUUCGAUCCUAUUUUGUUGGUUUCUAGGAUUGACGUAAUGAUUAAUAGGGAUAUUGGGGGCAUUAGUAUUCAAUUGUCAGAGGUGAAGUUCUUUGGAUUUAUUGAAGACUAACUACUGCGAAAGCAUUUGCCAAGGAUGUUUUCAUUAAUCAAGAACGAAAGUUAGGGGAUCGAAGACGAUCAGAUACCGUCGUAGUCUUAACCAUAAACUAUGCCGACUAGGGAUCGGAUGAUGUUAAUUUUUUAAUGACUCAUUCGGCGCCUUACG
rnacentral:rRNA from 1 species